rnacentral:rRNA from 1 species
CUUGACACACAUAAGAGGUCCAGCCUGCCCAGUGACUAAGUUCAACGGCCGCGGUAUCCUAACCGUGCGAAGGUAGCGUAAUCACUUGUUCUUUAAAUGAGGACUAGUAUGAAUGGCACCACGAGGGUUAUACUGUCUCCUUUUUUUAAUCAAUGAAACUGAUCUCCCCGUGAAGAAGCGGGGAUAAACUUAUAAGACGAGAAGACCCUAUGGAGCUUUAAACAAUUAUAGCACUGGCCCACACCUCUUAUUCUUCUGAGAUAUAAUUAUUAUACAGGCCAACAUGACUAUUAGUUUUAGGUUGGGGUGACCGCGGAGCAAAAAUUAACCUCCACGUUGAACGGAGCUACUCCUGAGCUAAAAGCUACAACUUUAAGCACCAAUAAACUGACAUCAAUUGACCCAAUAUAUUGAACAACGAAC